rnacentral:rRNA from 1 species
AUUGAACGCUGGCGGCGUGCCUAAUACAUGCAAGUCGAACGGAGUGGCGCACGGGUGAGUAAUGUAUAGCUAAUCUGCCCUACACUAGAGGACAACAGUUGGAAACGGCUGCUAAUACUCUAUAGUGUAGGAGGAGGCUAGCUUGUAUCAGAUAGUUGGUGAGGUAAUGGCUCACCAGGGCUAUGACGCAUAAUUGGUGUGAGAGGAUGAUCAGACACACUGGAACUGAGACACUGUUCAGAAACCUACGGGAAGCAGCCGAAGGGAAUAUUGCACAAUGGGUGGAGCGCUGAAGCAUCAGCGCCGCGUGGAGGAUGAUACUUUUCGGAGCGUAAACUCAUUUUAUUAUGGAAGCGGUACCUAACGAAUAAGCACCGGCUAACUCCGUGCCAGCAGCCGCGGUAAUUC